CGGAUCCCACCGCACCCCCGGCAUCCCCCCGGCAGCCCCCCGGGCACUCACAGGCUCCACUGAGCCUUCGCUCACUCUCUGCAAUGUGUACAUAGAGGGAUGAAGUUCAAUCACUUCAAAAGCCCCACAGAUUCAACCCACAGCAGCCUCUGGGGCUGUAAUUGUUAUGCUAAUGUAGGAACCCGGGAAGGGUGGCUGUGGUGAACUCAUCAGCUGUUCGUGCAGUUCGAAGCCCUGGGCUGAGACAAAGCCAAGCAGGAGGAGGUUUUGUGGAUCUUCCUUCGAGGCACAUCACAAAUCCCGGCUGGCAAGUGGGAAAUCACCCUUGUUCUGCUCCUGCCGUCCUCGUCCUGCAGAGCUCAGCCCAGCCACCUUGAGCCAAGGCUUGAUUCCAGACAGACUGAAAAUAAAAAAAGGCUCCUUGUAAGGACAAGCGAGGAGUGCUGUGCACUUUGUCUGGGGGAGAUAAGAUCACAGUCACAGAGGCAGCAGUAGCAUUUUGCAGCAAAGACUCCACUGGCACCCUCAGGGCUGGAAAAGGGGCUGGAGGAGCUGUUCUCCACAUUGCUCUCCACCCACUGCAGGUGACUUGAGCACUGCUCACCAGCUCUGCUGCCAAGCUUCAGCAGGGGGCUUCAAAAACAAACCCCACAUCUGUGACAGAAGCGUCCUUAAAUCUGGAAGAGGUUUGGAGCAGAACAGAGCUUUUAGAAAAUAUACAUAUUUAUAAGAACCUUCAAAAUAAAGGGAAGUCACGUGGCUUCCAGCUCUUCUGUGAUCCUGCCCAGAUGUUUGCUCCAAAGGCAGCUCCGUGUCUGUUCCAUGCUGAGCUCUGAGCCUGCAGAGGGCACAGGGAAUGGUGUGGUGGUGGCUUCACCACCACAAACCAGACAGAAAUCAGCCUCUUGAGUACUCAUGAGUCCUACACUGGCUCAUCUGCCCCUCAGUGCCCAGGAUCUGUCUGCUGGGGCAGCUGAUGCUGACCUGCUCUGGUUUCAACACAAGACACAAGUCUCUUGAGCAAGCUUUGUAAGCAAACUGUGCAGUCAGCAGUGAUGUCUGCCCACCCAAAUCCUACCCUGCAAUCGUUCAAACCAAACCAAACCAAACCAAACCAAACCACAACAAUCCCCAAAAACAUUCAAACAUACCAAAAAAAUCAACCUGAUCAACUUGUACCUAUUCUUCAAAUUUUGUUGCUGUUUAAGAGUUUGAAUUGUUGCCUCCCAUAAGGCUGCUCUGAUUCAUGGAAACACUCAGGCAUUGUGUGCUUGGUAAAUCCCAGCAGAUAUUUCCACUCAGAUUUUGCAGCAACAGUUAAAACCCUGACUGCCUCAGAAUACAGAUCAGGGCACACACCAACCAGCUUCAUUUCAAUGUGUUCCUCCUAUGGAGCAGCCAGGCUCACUCAAGGCAUCUGUGAGGUUUAACAGUAAAACUAAAAUGACCCCCCAAACCAGGAAUUAUGCAUGCAAUAUAUUUCCCACUGAGAUAAGCAAAUGGAAAUUGGCUGAGCCAGGCAUUUCAUCCAGCUCACAGCUGACAAGGGGUCAUUCCCUGCAGUGUAUUUAGCAAUGAUUUGUCCAGCCUAGUGUUGAUUAUCUAAAACAAAACAGAACUGCCUCCAUUUCUCCAGGGGGAUUGUUUGCAGCCAAACUCAUUGGCAAAAGGCUUCUCCUAACAUCUUGUUUUCCUCCACAGCCCAGCCUUCAGCCACACUAAUUCCAAACCCAUUUCUGUGGGUUAUCCCCAUGCAGCCAUUUUGUACUGAGCUACAUCUUCUUGGCUUUCUUUAAUCAUCACUUAGUCAGGCUUACAGCUUUAAUUCUUGUCAUCUUGUGCCAUUGCCCAAUUCCUUCCUCUCAGUCACUGCAGCUGUUCUUUGUAGCCCCUCCAAUUUGGCUACUGCCUCCUGGUAUGAGAUCUAGCCCAGCAUGAACAAGUUUGGCUUCUCCCAGGAGAGGCAGAUCAAUACCUUCACAGCUGGGCUGGGUGGAGGAUUCCUUCCAGCUCCACAGAGCUCCUGCAGAACAAAGAUCUGAGCAGUUCAGGGAAGCAGCAGCUGGAGCACUGACAGGGACUCUUCCACACCUGCAGGAAUACAAGAGCCAUCUCAGGUAUUGUGCCUCAGCCUCCCCACAGAAAAUAUCCCACAGGGGAGAAGAGCCACAACAAAGCAGUGUCACCCCCAAUUACCAUUUUCCAGGGAUGAGAGGGGACAAAAGGAAUGGAUGAUUUGCACUUUUUGCUCCUUAAGACAGAAGAAAGCCUUUGUCUCCUUACCAAGGGCCCCAAUAUCAGCAUCAGCUGUGCCAAUAACAAGCUGUGUUAUUACCUCUGCUGUACAAAGCAAUUUGGUUUUUAUUGACCACUCACCAUACAGGGCACUACAACACUCUCCCCUCAUUAGAGCCUGUCAGUCAGAAGGCAAAGGAAGGCAAAAGCAGAUUUAAGGAGAAGGCAGCUCUUUGCAGUCAUGAAGAUAACCUUGCUUGUGCAAAAGCAUUGGCAGCAGGCAGCCAGGAGUGCAAUGAGGAGCUGCAAAUGAUCAGACAGCUGGGAAUGUCAGACACUGCAAGAAAAACCUCAGUGCAGGUAGAACAAUUUACCUCCCCUGGGCAGGAAAACACCUACAAAAUUACAUCCAAACACACAACACUGAGGAAAGUUUUGUUAGCUGUGGUUUUGUUUCUUCUGCUCCCUGUUAAGUCUGCCAGAUGACCUUUGCUUGCAAUAGACUUCAAAUACUGGGAGCUCUUCUUUGUGUCUCCUUGGAGAAAAUGGUCAGGAAUCAAUUUUUCCACUGAUAAUUUCAUUUGGUCUCCUUCUCAAGUGAGUGUUCCCACAAUUCAGCCCCACCUUACCCACUCCACCCUUAACAUUUCACCUUUCCUUAUGGCUGAGUGCAGGCAGCUCUGGGGAUGAGUCUCAGCUGCUGUCAGGGAAUGCCAAGGGGGAAUGGGAAUGUUUUAAGGCCAAAUACACAACAGACAGAAUAUGCAGCUGGAGAAUUUGGAGAAACCUGCAUUAAAGAGGUUUAGGCCACUCCAGUGCAACAACAGCAACCACCUGCAUCAGGAAUAUUUGUUCUAACCUACAGUGAGGCAUUAAGAAAUCCAAAUUCUAAGCACUUUUUAUAUUUUGCUCUCUGGUAAAACACUCACCCAGAGGCUUGAGGCAGUGCAGAAGUGGCUGCUUGGGAGGUGCAGGGUAGAGAAGAGAGGCUGCUUCAGGCAUUACCCCUCGGUGGAAGGAUGAGAACCACAGGCUGAACUGGAAGAAACAUCUUGAAGACUGGAAUUUGCUGCUGAAGGAUGUAUGCCUUUGAGGGAUGGGGGAUCAUCAGGAAGAACACUUGACAGGAAUGCUGUGCCCUCCUCAUCCCUGCCAACCCAACCAGUCUGCAGAAUUGAAUGCAAGGUUAGAUCCCAACACCUCAGGAAGAGCACAACUACAGAGUCCCAAAUCUCCAUCAGUCUAACUUAAAGAAGAUCAAGGACUUGCUCCUCUGAGAUAGUGUGGCCAGAUCCACCAGAGACACGACUUUAAAAGUAACCCUCUAUCCUUAAUUUGUAUCUGGACACCAAGGUUGAGAGCACCAGCUCCAUCUGCCCUCACCUGGCAGCAGAGAACACACAGACCCCAGGGCUGGGGAGCAGCAACAAGCCCAGAUGCUCCUGAAUUCCUGCCUGCCCCAGACUGCAGGAGACACAGGGCUGGGAGAAACACUUGUUCAAGAGUCAGUCCACAAACACUGCCUAAGUUCAGCUAGCAAAAGUAAAAGAGCAGCUGAGCACACACAAACACAGCUCCAGUACCUGGAGCUCAAGAAAAGGCACCUCAGUGAACCUCACUGGGUCACUGACAGGAAAACUUUUCCCUUCAACAGAAGUUUUUCCACACAAGUUUUGUGAUUUGGCCCUGAAUCCAUGAUACAGAUGUUGAUGGCUGGAAACAGAAGUUGAGCAGAGGGAAAU